UACGAAGGGGGCUAGCGUUGUUCGGAUUUACUGGGCGUAAAGCGCACGUAGGCGGAUCGUUAAGUCAGGGGUGAAAUCCUGGAGCUCAACUCCAGAACUGCCUUUGAUACUGGCAACCUUGAGUCCGGGAGAGGUGAGUGGAACUGCGAGUGUAGAGGUGAAAUUCGUAGAUAUUAGGAAGAACACCAGUGGCGAAGGCGGCUCACUGGUCCGGUACUGACGCUGAGGUGCGAAAGCGUGGGGAGCAAACAGG
rnacentral:rRNA from 1 species